CAGUCGCCGCGGGAAUACGUAGGGUGCAAGCGUUAAUCGGAAUUACUGGGCGUAAAGCGUGCGCAGGCGGUUUUGUAAGACAGAGGUGAAAUCCCAGGGCUCAACCUGGGAACUGCCUUUGUGACUGCAAGGCUAGAGUACGGCAGAGGGGGAUGGAAUUCCGCGUGUAGCAGUGAAAUGCGUAGAUAUGCGGAGGAACACCGAUGGCGAAGGCAAUCCCCUGGGCCUGUACUGACGCUCAUGCACGAAAGCGUGGGGAGCAAACAGGAUUAGAUACCCCAGUAGUCCCUGUCUCUUAUAC
rnacentral:rRNA from 1 species